rnacentral:lncRNA from 1 species
AAAUCAAUCACCAUCCCUAGACCGAGAUUCAACACAAGGCUCGUGUUGAAUCUAAACAAAGGUUCAUAGUCAUCGUAAGGCCCUAAGGCAACUAUAUAGUCCAUCAAUGAAUGCAAAGUUUAUGUUAGUAGUAUCAUAUACUCUUGCUUUAAAAACCGUUUUAUAAGCAUAGUGGGAGUAUUAAAUACAACUAAAACAAUCAAAUGGACCAAUAGUUGUAAUAGGACCAAAAUUGUUUUAAUAUAGAUUAAAAUGAAUGUUUAUAUGUGAUGAGACCUAAAACCCUCAACCAAACCAUUAUUAAGUUGAUAAGCGUGAG